UUACUCAUUACUCAAUUGAAUUGAUGACACCAACUCAAUUACAGGCGUAAUAUAUGAUAUACAUAAAUAAAUAAAAUAAAAGCUAGAUUAUUAUUAUUUUAAAAAAAAAGAGGAUUAAUUCCAUUGAAUGUACCCUAUAAAUACCCAAUUCUGCCCGGGUCUAAAAUCCCGAAUUACAAGUGGACCGCAAGGCCCAAACCAAAAUAAAUAACAGGUCACAAGGCCCAAAACCCGAAACUUAGGGGGCCCAAAAGCAGUGACAGAAACCCUAGGGUUUCUGGGAUGGAUCUCGCGCCGCAAGCUCCGAAUCCCCAUGGAUUUACCUGUAUAGCAAGAAAAAAACGAAAAUGGAAAGGGAAUCAACAAUAUUUGUAAAUCAAAUCAAGAAUAGACUUCUUUCCUUUUUAGAUUUGUUUCAUAAGGCUAUAAGAGGCCAUCGAGCAUACUGUAAUGGGGAUGGGGGGAGAUCAAUAAUAAAAUACGUUUUUACAGCACAAACAGAGAUACAACGAAAAUCUAAGGUUGUUUAUAAUCUGUUAUUUAUUAUUUGUUUAUAUACUAUUAAUAAAUAAGGAAAAGAGAGAUACAACCUCUGUUUUGAGCCCUACAUCACCAUGGACGACUGAGGGUAUCGUCUCCGAUGAAAGACGAUAGGAAGUCAAAAGGUUUCAGUGCUUUUGGGGCACUUUCGUUGGUGUUUUGAGGGAUUUAUGCUCAGAUCUGGGCAAAUGAGGUCAAGAAGGCUAACAAGGAAUUUUUUCUUCCUUUCUCCGACCACCGCAGACGGUGGUGCCGGCGCCGGAUAUCGGCGGCCGACGCGGUGGCCAACGAAGGGCCGAUGACUGACCAAUCGGAGGCCGGUGCCGGAGGUUGAGAGCUUU
rnacentral:lncRNA from 1 species